rnacentral:rRNA from 1 species
AUUGAACGCUGGCGGCAUGCUUUACACAUGCAAGUCGAACGGUAACAGGCCGCAAGGUUCUGACGAGUGGCGGACGGGUGAGUAAUGCAUUGGAACGUGCCCAGUCGUGGGGGAUAACUACUCGUAAGAGUAGCUAAUACCGCAUACGAUCUAUGCAUGAAAUCGGGGGACCGUAAGGCCUCGCGCGAUUGGAGCGGCCGAUGUCAGAUUAGGUAGUUGGUGGGGUAAAGGCUCACCAAGCCAACGAUCUGUAGCUGGUCUGAGAGGACGACCAGCCACACUGGGACUGGGCCACGGCCAAGACUCCUACGGGAGGCAGCAGUGGGGAAUGUUGGACAAUGGGCGCGAGCCUGAUCCAGCAAUGCCGCGUGCAGGAAGAAGGCGUUCGGGUUGUAAACUGCUUUUGUACGGAACGAAACGGCUCUGGUUAAUACCCGGGGCUAAUGACGGUACCGGAAGAAUAAGCACCGGCUAACUACGUG